UGCUACGCCUGUCUCAAUGCUUCUCUUCCUACACGCUUGCCUCUCAUUGAAAAUUAAUUACAGAAAAUCGCUUAAGCGAUUGACGAUGGAUGAUGGUAAACCUGUGUGAAAAGGCCUUUAUGCUAACGUUAGCUACCGUUAGCCAAAAAGUAACGUCAGGUAUCACCAGUGGAUGAAACCCUCCAGACAGUCGUCAACGCUUAUUAUUUUCCUCCUUGCUCCUUGCUACCUGCGCUUUGGUCUGAGUCUGUCUUCACACCCACCCUCCACAUUGGGUUUCAGUCAGCCCUUAUCUGCAGACAUCCCUCCUGGCUAGAAAGUCACCAAAGCCUCUUCCCCUGACCUGCUCUGAUCUCCUUGCCUGUCUGAACAUACUAUUUGAGGAGGAAAACAGAACUGGCCCUGUGGCAAAGGAGUGGUUUUCAGAUGGGCUUGCUUGGUGGCCCCCCUAUAGGGACAAAGUCCAAAUUCUCCGAAGUGUCCAAAAGAGGAUUUUGCCGCAACCAACAAAGGGAUGGAGGCAGUAUGCUGCAUGCAUACUCUACGAAUCAGAUUCUAUUGACAGAAUUAAAGAGCGCUGGGAAAUGUCUUGUGUGACAUCAGACCUCAACACAGAUAAAGAGCAAGAAGCCUAAAAAGUUAGAAUACG